AUCUUAUCUCUCCAGAACACACUACAGCCAUUCGUUCCCCUCAAGUCUCUCUCCUCCCAAUCCCAAUCUCGUCAGCCAUGGCACGACCAUCCCCCCGACGAGCAGCUCCUUCCAUGGUGCUCGUGUGGCUCCUACCUCUCCAUGGCUGUGACGCUCAUCACCUUGUCUGCCUCCGCCGGCAGCUGGACACGCGCCCUCUCCAUGGCCGUCGCAACCAGGGUGCUUCGAUCGCCAUGGCCAAGCUGCACCCGGCCCCGGCAACGGUGGCGAGUUUGUGCUGGAACCGGCUGGUGUAUGUGCUACAAGGUCGGUGCCUCGCCAGGGAAGCUACAUCCAGCAGCAAGGAGUGUUGUAUCCAACGUUGUUCGAAUGUCGGGAGCUGCAAUCGUGCACGCCGGAGCUCCAACCGGUUACUGGGGGAGCUGCAAGAGAGGGUGGCCAUUUUUUGUUGAUGCAUUUUUUGCUGAACCAAUUUUUUGUUUUUGUUGGAACCGGUGUAUUUUUUUGCUGGAACCAAGAUAUUUUUUUGCUUCAUCGGAUGCAGAGCUCUCAAAUGCUCAUGUCGUUUUUGUUGGCACCUAAGCUUGUUUUUGCUAGAAGCAUUUUUUUGAUUUUGCUUCAACCGACCACCGGAUUUCGACCCAGGGUGAAGUUUUUUGCUGGAAGAUUUUUGUUGCUUCUAGAUUUUUUGCUGCUUGGCACUCGAACCCGGCGAGCUGGAGACGCAGAGAUGAUGCAGCCAUCCACCCUAACUGCUAGCACAUGCAUCAUCAGAAGUUUGGAUCCAACAAAUUAUUUUGCUACCACCAUAAUUUUUUACUAGAACCAACUUCAAAUUUUGCUUCCAUCAUGUUCUGUUUUUGCUGAAUCCAGCUUUUGUUUUUGCUUCCACCAUGACGGCGGCCGGCGGCAACGACUGCGGCCGGCGGCGACGACGACGACCGGCGGGGAGGGCGGCUACAGGCGAGCGCACCAGGGUGGUACUUUCAAACUGGGCGCAUCGCUCAUCCAUGGUAGCGCGCUGGAAGUUUUUUUUAAGGAAGAAGACGCCUGGUGAAAGUAAAGAAGAGAAUCGUACGGCCAUGAGUUGUUCGAUCGGACGCUGCUGGUAUGACCGGCUCAAAGUUGGGCCGGCGCACCGGCGCCUAGUAAUGGCCAGAAUCGAAUUUGUUUUUCUCUAACGCCGGAUAGGGAUCGGUCAGAAUGCUCUCAAGUGCAGCAAAAAAAAUGAAAUAUCUGUAGGACACAUGGCCUUGCUUUUUUUUCUUGAGAAAUCUCCCAUGCUUUAUUGAAUAAGAGUAAUGUUCAUAGA